AUUUAGAGGAAGGAGAAGUCGUAACAAGGUUUCCGUAGGUGAACCUGCGGAAGGAUCAUUGUCGAAACCUGCACAGCAGAACGACCCGCGAACCCGUUUCAUCACACGGGGGAUGCACGGGUGCGAGAGCCCCCGCGACAGCCCCUACCCGCCGUCGGGGCGAGGGCGUCCCGCGCUCCCGCUCCGUCGGCACAACAACGAACCCCGGCGCGGACUGCGCCAAGGAAAACGUAACAAGAGAGCGAUCUCCCCGCCGCCCCGGACACGGUGCGCGUGCGGGCAGCAUCGCCUUCUCUCAGUAUCCAAAACGACUCUCGGCAACGGAUAUCUCGGCUCUCGCAUCGAUGAAGAACGUAGCGAAAUGCGAUACUUGGUGUGAAUUGCAGAAUCCCGUGAACCAUCGAGUCUUUGAACGCAAGUUGCGCCCCAAGCCUUUAAGGCCGAGGGCACGUCUGCCUGGGUGUCACGCAUCGCUGCCCCCCCAACCCCUUCGCCCCGCACGGGGCGAUCGGGCCUGUCGGGGCGGACAUUGGCCUCCCGUGCGCUGCCGCUCGCGGUUGGCCCAAAUGAGAGUCCUCGGCGACGUAUGCCGCGACGUUCGGUGGUGCAAGGUGCCUCGAGUUCUCGUCGCGGGUCCGUCCGUCGGCCAAAGGCUCCCCGACCCUGAAGCGUCGUAGUCACGGCGCACGCAACCGCGACCCCAGGUCAGGCGGGAUUACCCGCUGAGUUUAA
rnacentral:misc_RNA from 1 species